UUGUAGUCCAGCUGCCGGCGCUGCCGCCGUGGCGGCAGCCGGCAGAAACUCCAUUUCCCGGCAGGCAGCGCGGCAGGGCCGGGGCGCCGGGCAGGGCCGCCAUGGCGGUGGAUAAGGAUGUGCUGGAGCUGGACCUGUAUGGCCUGCUGGGCAUCGGCGAGAAAGCGUCGGAGAAGGAGGUGAAGAAGGCGUACCGGCAGAAGGCCCUGACAUGUCACCCCGACAAGAACCCGGACAACCCCCGAGCAGCGGAAGUUUUCCACCAGCUGUCCCAGGCCCUGGCCGUGCUGACGGACGCGGCAGCGAGGGCGGCGUAUGACAGAGUGAGGAAGGCGAAGCAGCAAGCUGCAGAAAGGACGCGGAAACUCGAUGAGAAGCGAAAGAAAGUAAAGCUUGACCUUGAAGCCAGAGAACGAGAAGCCCAGAGCCAUGAGAGUGAAGAGGAGGAGACCAGGAUAACGAGAUCAUUAGAACAAGAAAUCAUACGGCUGCGGGAAGAAGGCUCCCGGCAGCUCGAGGAGCAGCAGAGACUCAUUCGAGAGCAGAUCCGGCUUGAAAGAGAGCAGCACGGCCAAGGCAGGCAAGAAAGAAGCGGAGCAGAGGGCAAAAUAACUCCCAAACUCAAACUCCGAUGGAAAUGCGGGAAAGAAGAUGAGACAGGAGGGGGAUACUCCAAAGACGUUCUGCUGCGGAUCCUACAGAAGUAUGGCGACGUGCUCAAUCUGUUGGUGUCCAGUCGGAAGACAGGGAGCGCGGUGGUGGAAUUCGCCACGGUGAAGGCGGCUGAGAUGGCUGUGAAGAACGAGGUCGGCCUGGUCAAUAAUCCUCUGAAGAUCUCCUGGCUGGAGGGGCAGCCCCGGCACAGUCCCAGCACCGGCCUUCCCGGCAGCACCGGCCAGCCCAGGACUUCCCAGGUAAUCCCUCUGAAGCUGUUGCUCUUGGACAGCAAACGUAUCCCAGUCACAAAGCACACAGAAGGCACCAACAUCUAGUGGUUAAAACACAAAAACUGAUCUGAAGGCGAGCUGCAGCAAAGCGUUGGCUCUCUGUUAUUCCCUGCUCCUUGCUGGUGAUUCGAGUUCCAGUUCACACUUCCUGUGACACUUAUCCCCCCCCAUCCUUCCCUGCGGUGUAAAGAUCAGAAAGAUGUCAUUGGGAAGGGGACGCCUGCCUCGUGCCCUCACUCUGUGUCUCGAGCAGCUGUCGCUGUGUUCGCUACCCACGUGUUUUAGCAGCUGCUGAGUGGUUCAGCGCAUCUGCUCUCCGGAGUUUUUAAUUACGUUAUUUCUAGUAGACGCAUUUACACGUCAGAGCGCCUCGUCGUUACCCGAGUCUUGUUCAGGGGUGCGUGUUCUCACCCGGGCUGCUCGCUCUUUGCCUGGGCAGCGGUUCCCCAGGCGCCUGAGCCAAGGGCAGUGCCAGCGUCCCGGCCCGGGGCGCCACACGCAGCGCGGAGCCCACGAGUGCUGCACACACAGCACGGUCCCGGGGCGGCCAGCCUGGUGGGAGGCAAACCGGGGGAAAAAGCAGAAUCCAGUCCAGUUUAUUUAACUGUUCCUGGCUAGUAGAGAGCGAGAACUGGCUCUGGAGAGCUCCUUCGUACCUAAGGGUGCAAUCUGAGCUCGGAAGUGGAUUCUUGCCUCUGUGGGUUCUGAAGCUCUGGCUUUUGCCUGAGUUGAUCUUGGCGGUGUCCGCGGCCACAGCUCGUUGGUGUGCCGUGCAGCGUGCGCGGCUCUGCAGGGCUGUCCCGCUGGAGCGGCGCGGGGAGCAGGCUCAGCAGCGAGCGCUGCCGGCGCGUGCAGCUGCUGGCUCACGGCUGCCCAGCACAGCCCCGGCACUCCCGAAUUAGCCCUCCAAGUGCUGAGGAGUCACGGCCAGUGACUCGCAUCCUUUCCUCAAAACUGCACUGCUGCUGCUUGUCUCUCCUUUCUGCUGCUUUUCCGUGUAAGCAGCUGCAGUUUCCUUGAUCGCAUUGCAGUUUUGCUGCCCAGGCUGCUCUGCUUCCUGCUUUUUGCAGUUCCGACUCCAGACUCUCCCCAAAUCCUGCCGUGCUUCCACUAGGAUGCAGUGUGCUCAUAACUCCAGUCGAGUUAUUUGUCCUCAGCUCUUCAAGUGCAGACUGUGCAAAGUGAGCUCUUGCGGGCGCCGUGUGCCGCUGCCUCAGCCCGCUCCCUGCCUCGUCCUUUCAUCCCAGCCUGCCUCCCCAGCCACCAGCUCCCACAUUCUUGCUUUCAAGCCGCACUAAUCUCUGUCUAAUUCAAGCUGCCCUCGCUCCCCUCACUUCCUAUUCACUGCUCCUGCCGGGUUGCUCCUAUUUUUGACUGAAUCCACCCCCAUGUUUGUUCCCGCUCUGUGCGAAUCCAGCUCCUCCCCGGCUCUGCCUCAGCAAGCAGCCCCACACCGCAGCGUUCUCAUGGAAACACGCUCGCUGUGCGGCACGGAGCUGUGCGGCACGGAGCUGUGCGGCACGGAGCUGUGCGGCACGGAGCUGUGCGGCACGGAGCUGCAUGGCACGGAGCUGUGCGGCACGGAGCUGUGCGGCACGGAGCUGUGCGGCACGGAGCUGCAUGGCACAGAGCUGCGCGGCAUGGAGCUACACGGCACGGAGCCGCGCCGGCUGCGCUUCCGGAGCCGGCCCAGGCGUCGGUGGUGUCGGAGCGGGACUACGAGAGCCUGGUGAUGAUGCGGCUGCGGCAGGCGGCCGAGAGGCAGCAGCUCAUCGAGCAGCUCCAGCGGGAAGACGAGGCAGAGUCUCACACCUAGCGCCAGCACCCAGCCUCCCCCCAGCCUUCCUUCCCAAAGCUGUUUCUUAAUUUAAAGUCAAUAAACCUCCUUUUUUAAAA